GAUGAACGCUGGCUACAGGCUUAACACAUGCAAGUCGAGGGGAAACGACGGGGAAGCUUGCUUCCCCGGGCGUCGACCGGCGCACGGGUGAGUAACGCGUAUCCAACCUGCCUCUGACUGAGGGAUAACCCGUCGAAAGUCGGCCUAAUACCUCAUGGUAUCGUCUGCGGGCAUCCAACGACGAUUAAAGAUUUCAUCGGUCAGAGAUGGGGAUGCGUCUGAUUAGCUGGUUGGCGGGGUAACGGCCCACCAAGGCGACGAUCAGUAGGGGUUCUGAGAGGAAGGUCCCCCACAUUGGAACUGAGACACGGUCCAAACUCCUACGGGAGGCAGCAGUGAGGAAUAUUGGUCAAUGGGCGAGAGCCUGAACCAGCCAAGUAGCGUGCAGGAUGACGGCCCUAUGGGUUGUAAACUGCUUUUAUGCGGGGAUAAAGUGAGGGACGUGUCCUUCAUUGCAGGUACCGCAUGAAUAAGGACCGGCUAAUUCCGUGCCAGCAGCCGCGGUAAUACGGAAGGUCCGGGCGUUAUCCGGAUUUAUUGGGUUUAAAGGGAGCGUAGGCCGUGGAUUAAGCGUGUUGUGAAAUGCAGGUGCUCAACGUCUGCACUGCAGCGCGAACUGGUCCACUUGAGUGUGCGCAACGCAGGCGGAAUUCGUCGUGUAGCGGUGAAAUGCUUAGAUAUGACGAAGAACUCCGAUUGCGAAGGCAGCUUGCGGGAGCACAACUGACGCUGAAGCUCGAAAGUGCGGGUAUCGAACAGG
rnacentral:rRNA from 1 species